UUCAAUUGCGGACCAUUGUUCUUCUGCAGAAGAAACGCUAAACAUGGACAACGAUCACUCUGAAGCGGUUCAGAAUGCCACUGCCCGGCAAGAGAAUUCGGAACUCAAACGACGUGGAGGGAAACUCCAAACACCGAAGUACGACUAACACCACACAUCGGCCUACCGCAGGCGAGGGAGUACGGAACCGGGUAAUCGAAAGGGGAGGCUCCAACGGCGAUUCACGUGAGCAGAGUGCUUUCGAACGAUAUAGAAGGCAGAAAAUCGUCGACAAACCGGUAGCGAAAACGAACAAAAAGACCAACACAGGUCUAUAAAGAAGCGGUCUUCACCAUCCCGUCGCGCCAGGACAUAGACUGGUAUCGGGCCAUAGAAAAGUCAUCAACACGGCAGAUCGUUUCCUGAAUAAGAGGAGCUGCGGCCUCGGGUCGAGGGCCCAAAAAGCCGGGUUGGCGGAGGUCAACGCUUACGGCCACCAUUCGGCGCAAUGGAGCAACGACUGUACGGUGCAGUAUUGCAGAACACACAAUGCUGGCGUCCGGCGAAGGAUAUGGUAACCGUCUGAUGAAACAAGAUACGUUGCAGAGCGGAGCAGAAAGAAAGGACGAGGCAGCCUACGUCAGGCAAGGGAGAUUGGACCCCUAAAUCCAAGUAGGGACACACCAAAGACCACGUACGGAAAGCGUCAUCGGAGACCAAGGCCUACAACCAUUAUCCGGCGGAAAGAAGUGAUGACGAGAAGCAGCGCGUGGAAGCACCGUCUUGAACCCAGAUGAGACUGCCAUGGACAGAGGCCAAUCAAAAUCGCCAUUGUUACAAAGCUAUGAAAACAGGAAAUCCUGCGGACAAAAAAGAAAAAAUCCACAUAGUGGCAACACCGUUAGCCGAUCGGGACAAAUCGUGCAGGCGAGUUUGGUGAGCAAUAACAACUUCAAAGUCUACCUCCCAACAUCGACCAUUAGCUAUGGGCAACACCAGCCACAACAUCACCCCGUGAGAAAACAAGACACGAAAGUAUCCACCACCGACCUGGAUUGGUGACGUUGCAUUCAAGCAUAGUCCAGAGAUAGUAAACAUACGCCAAAACAUCCAAACACAUCGGUUGUCUUUAGGGGGUCGCCAUGAAAUUCCACCUGAAAGUAACGUGACCGGGGGCGCGGUAAAACUCCUUACAUGGGCUCAUGGCGAUUCUAGGGGAGCAAAUGCCUCUUUUCUCUAGGCCAGACAAUUAGAUACAACCAACCAAAUUAUCCAGUUUGUAAAUACCUUCUUGUUUAGUGUUUAAUCCACUUAGUUUAGCGAAAUAACUAAGCACGAUUAAGUUGAAUGUCUGCCACAGCGGAGAGAAGUUAAGAGAAGAAGGAUAAGGAGCUCAGUCGGAGACAUUUUGCCAGAACUUAGCUGGCACGCUGUUAAAUUUUCCAGAAUUAGCUGGUAGUUUCUGUAGGAUUUGUUGAGCAUUUGUUGUAUUCAGUCGCUGUUACGGCUUAGGCCAAAUAACUAGAUCUUGAAUCUAGGGUUUCGUUGACAGUAUCCCGUCUCUGACCGACUUCGUUAAAGGAAGUUGAAGAGUUUUUCAUGAGUCGAGUAGUUCUCGCUCAUGAAAAACUCUGCCGUUGUGGUAAUGUUAUGUUACGUUUACGUUAGCCGUAAAGUAAGAAAUUGUUCAGUACUUUAAGGAUUAGGCAAUAAGUUAAGAACGUGCUCCACAAUUAGAUAGUUGAGCACCCCUGCCAGACGCCUGCACUCCGCCGCUCGCCAGUCAGUCAGAGUAACCACAUAAGCACCACCAGCGGGUGUACACACAGGCAUACGCUGAGCGAACCACAUGCCAAUCGAGCAGCACAUGAGAGAAAGUACAUAGGAGAAUACUCUCACGUAUCACGCGAGAGCGCGGCGCACCGACUCAAUGCGGCACAAAUACAUACCUCAAUCGGGGCUGAUCAAGUUCGCCUUCGCCUCAGUAGUCAGUAGUCGCCACCCGUCUUUCGAUCGCAUCGGUACUAAUCGACAGCUGGAGCCUUGUUCAUCGCGCGUCCGUCAAAAGAAAAGUUGUCAGGGCUGGAAAAGACAGCCGCCAAAGCAGAAAUAAUUCGUCUCGAAGGUGCGAGCAUUACCAAGAUCUGCAAUUGCAUCAGCAAUUGGAAAUUCGCGACACUAAACAAUCUGAUCUUGUAAGUCUCCUUAAUAUUAGCAUGGCUGCCAAAUGUGCUGACGCUUUCUUUUCCCCGUGUAAUUAGAGGUGCGGUACCGAAGACAAUAGCCGAUACACAAAAGGCGAUUCUGCUGGUGGAACCAGCAGCGGCGUGGCGUGGUCAAUCCACGUGGGGUGAGUGAUUUUUUCGAGAUGGCCGUCACGAGACUGAACAUUACUCUCCCAUUGUGACAGGAAAUAAUUCCGGACGGAUAAGGCAAGCGAUCGCGGGCGCCUUGGUGACAGGCUGCAGAUACGGACCGGAAGCGAAUAGAUUGCAUGGUGAGUGAUGUCAUCUCAAGUUUCGUUUGGUGUAAUGCUGACCUUGAUCGUUUAGUGCAGGAAAGUUGCAUCUCAACGCACAAACUACAGUGCCACACUCGGACGCAUCGCGUACACACGCACACACGGAAAACCCCAUAUUGGGGUUUUUUUCUUGUGUGUGUUGCAGAUCACGAUUGUCGCACGACGCAACACCGGUGCAUCGGCGCAACAACACCUCUCGUCGCGAGAAUCAUUCCGAUCCUGGUCGAUGCAGCCAUAGUGGACUCUUUCUCGUGAUCGGCACACGAGAUCUUGGGAUUUUCCGGUCGGCCGCGCAUUCGAGGACGAGAACAAGCGGGAAAGGAGUGCAGACCAAACGGAGCUGGAGGAUAACCGAUCCGCGAGUGAGGUAGAAGCCACCGUGCGACAGCCAGAGAGUGAACCCGUCGUUGCGAAUGUCCAUACACGAACGGUGGGCGUGAGAAGCGGCAGGCUGGUCCGGUGCGGAAGACCGGUUGGUGGUGAGAGGACCACGAUACUCCAGAACAGCGCGCAGGAGAAGGUAUCAGCGGCCACGGUGGAGAGAUGCAGAGGGUAUGAAGGCGGUCUGGCUGGCAUAGGGGGAUCGUGAGUACUCAUGAUAGACUAGCUUUAAGGUUACAACAUGUGUGUACAUUAAGUGCAAUAGUACAGGGCACGAAGAUAGGAGAAUGACCCAAAGGGGUGAUAGAUCAAUUGAUUGUCCGUAAAUAAACAAUGUAACGUAAACGGUAUUUGGUUUGUGUGCGCUAUUAUUUUGGCUUCCGGGUCUGAUCGAGGCUAGCCUUAUUCCCCUCGACAGUCUUCCACAACAGGGUGUAUGCGAAAAUAGUUCAAAAAUAUUCUAAAAGCUGUACAGCAAAAACGGAUUGUUCGAUUGUUAUGAAUUUUUCAGCAAAGUUAGAUAACUAAAUGAUGAUUCCUUAGAAAAUAUACACUGUAAAAAAUUUCUUUUUUUACUAUAAAAAAAUAUGAUCUUUGUCACAAAAACUCAAAUAUCUCAGAACCCUAUCUUUUUACCAACGUCAAUUUUUUAGGGAAAAUGGCCCAUUAUAUCAGCUAUCUACCAUAAAAUUUUGGUGAUGGUAAACUGAUAAACAAAAAAGUUAUGACAUUUCAAACAUUUCACAAUUUUUACAUUUAGUAACAAAAAAAAAAAUUUUCUGUGUAAAUUAUUUCGAGAACUAUAUUUUGAUGCUGAUUUUAUUGUAAAGGCUACCGCAUGAAUUAAACAAGUUGUUUUCAUGAUAUUUUUGUUUGAUUAUUUAUAAUUACUAUAGUAUCUAUUUGAACCUUACACGCGAUCCAGUGUUGUGAUCAAAAAUAUUGAGAUUGUCAUACUUUUUAUUGUACGUGACUGGUGAAAAAAUCCCUUGAUAGUGUUGAAAAGCUGUUGAUCAUAAGAAAAAUGGAAUUAAACUUAUUUUGAAGACGAAAGCUGCAUAAUAAAAGUUUUAUAUAUACGCGUAUACGUCUAGUUGAUCUGCAAAAAAAUACCUCUUAGGGUCGAUUUCUUCACCCUGGCUUAGGCGUUAAGCCAGGUUUAACUAUAUGGGUAAGCCUGGCUUACGGGUUAAGCCGAGGUGAAGAAAUCGGCCCUUAGAGAACAGACUUUAUGAUCGGAAAAAUGCGAGUAACUUCAACAACAACAAAUGCAUGAGAGGUACAUACCACAGACAAACAGACAAAACGCCUAGAACAAUUUUCGUGAAAAUCCAUCGCCCAGUUCACACUACCACCACCUGGUGGAAAUGUAUCUCGAAACACUGCGUUGUGCAAUAUCGUCAUCAGAAGGCGCUAGUGUGAAACGUCAAACGCAAAGAAAAACGAUGGGCACUCUUCUGGUUAUGAAAGCCACAACCAAGAUUCAAAAUGAUCGUUAAAGGCGUGGUCAAUGAAAAUUUCGUCAGUGUUACGUUUGUUUGUCUGUAUACUAGGGUGGCCCACACUUAUAUGAAAAGCAAAAAUUUCGAAAAAUGCUAAGUCUUACCUCCUAAAUAAGUUGUUUAGGACUCCCAUAAGCUACGUUCAAAAUUUGAGUAAAAUCGGUUGAGCCUAAGGGGGCGCUCAAAACGCUUGAAGUUUAUAUGGGAAAACUUGGCCAAAUGUAGAAAUUUUAAGUUUUCUAAUUUUGCCGCUAGGUGGCGCUGUAAGCGUUCAAUAAUCAAACCCUUUGGUAUUAUUGUAGGUGACUAUAUGCCAAACAACUUUGUCGAAGACCGCAAAGUGAUCCGACGCCUGUGAAAAAAGUGAGGCCCUAGGCAAAGUGAGGCAAAGUAGUGAGAUUUCAUUAUUGAUAUUAUUCUUUUACAUGUAUUGGAAAAACAACAAUAAAGUUUAUCCUCACUUUACCAAGGGUAUAACUUUUUUCACAGAAGUUGGAUCACUUUGCGGUCUUCGACAAAGUUGUUUGGCAUAUAGUCACCUACAAUAAGACCAAAGGGUUUGAUUAUUGAACGCUUACAGCGCCACCUGGCGGCAAAAUUCGAAAACUUAAAAUUUCUGCAUACAUUUGGCCAAGUUUUCCCAUACAAACUUCAAGCGUUUUGAGCGCCCCCUUAGGCUCAACCGAUUUUGCUCAAAUUUUGAACGUAGCUUCUGGGACUCCAAAACAACUGAUUUAGAAGGUAAGACUUGGUAUUUUUCGAAAUUUUUGUUUUUCAUAUAAGUGUGGGCCACCUUACUGUAUACAUAUGUACCAUGAAAAUGCUCACGAAAAAGCAAAAAAAUACUACCGCUAUGGAUAUUAAAAAUUUUAUAGUAAAUUUUUUCUUCGUCCAAGCAAACAACACCAAACUAGUCAGUUAAAACUAAUAAGUGAUUUUGUUUAUUAUAAUCUAACGAACAACAUGAACAGUCGCUUUCUCAAAGGUCUUCAACUCAACGCUCUCUUGUAGA